GAUGAACGCUGGCGGCGUGCCUAAUACAUGCAAGUCGAGCGAACAGAUGAGGAGCUUGCUCCUCUGACGUUAGCGGCGGACGGGUGAGUAACACGUGGAUAACCUACCUAUAAGACUGGGAUAACUUCGGGAAACCGGAGCUAAUACCGGAUAAUAUAUUGAACCGCAUGGUUCAAUAGUGAAAGACGGUUUUGCUGUCACUUAUAGCUGGAUCCGCGCCGCAUUAGCUAGUUGGUAAGGUAACGGCUUACCAAGGCAACGAUGCGUAGCCGACCUGAGAGGGUGAUCGGCCACACUGGAACUGAGACACGGUCCAGACUCCUAAGGGAGGCAGCAGUAGGGAAUCUUACGCAAUGGGCGAAAGCCUGACGGAGCAACGCCGCGUGAGUGAUGAAAGUCUUCGGAUCGUAAAACUCUGUUAUUAGGGAAGAACAAAUGUGUAAGUAACUAUGCACGUCUUGACGGUACCUAAUCAGAAAGCCACGGCUAACUACGUG
rnacentral:rRNA from 1 species